UACGGAGGAUGCAAGCGUUAUCCGGAAUGAUUGGGCGUAAAGGGUCUGCAGGUGGCAUUGUAAGUCUGCUGUUAAAGAGUCCAGCUCAACUGGAUAAAAGCAGUGGAAACUACAAAGCUAGAGUGUGGUCGAGGCAGAGGGAAUUCCUGGUGUAGCGGUGAAAUGCGUAGAUAUCAGGAAGAACACCGGUGGCGAAGGCGGCCUGCUAGGCCAAAACUGACGCUGAGGGGCGAAAGCUAGGGGAGCGAAUGGG
rnacentral:rRNA from 1 species